rnacentral:rRNA from 1 species
AGCAGCCGCGGUAAUUCCAGCUCCAAUAGCGUAUAUUAAAGUUGUUGCAGUUAAAAAGCUCGUAGUUGAAUUUCGGGAUCGACGGGUCGGUCGCGCCUCUGGUGUGUACUGGCCCUGUCGGUUUCUCCCUUCUGACGAACCACGAUGUCAUUAAUUUGGUGUCGUGGGAAAUCAGGACUGUUACUUUGAAAAAAUUAGAGUGUUUAAAGCAGGCAUUCGCUUGAAUACAUUAGCAUGGAAUAAUGAAAUAGGACGUUUGAUCUUAUUUUGUUGGUUUCUAAGAUCGACGUAAUGAUUAAUAGGGAUAGUUGGGGGCAUUAGUAUUCAAUUGUCAGAGGUGAAAUUCUUGGAUUUUAUUGAAGACUAACUACUGCGAAAGCAUUUGCCAAGGAUGUUUUCAUUAAUCAAGAACGAAAGUUAGGGGAUCGAAGACGAUCAGAUACCGUCGUAGUCUUAACCAUAAACUAUGCCGACUAGGGAUCGGAUGAUGUUAAUUUUUU